rnacentral:rRNA from 1 species
CCCGCUGAACUUAAGCAUAUCAAUAAGCGGAGGUAAAGAAACUAACAAGGAUUCCCCUAGUAACGGCGAGUGAAGCGGGAAGAGCUCAAAUUUAAAAUCUGGCGCUCGCCCGAGUUGUCAUCUAGAGAGGCGUUUUCCGGGCCGCACCGUGUACACUGUCCUUGGUAUAGGUCAUCAUAGAGGGUGAGAAUCCUGGCGAUGACAUGCACUACCGCUGCUCUGUGAUGCUCUGUGAUAGAGUCUAGAUGUUUGGAGAUGCAUCUCAUAAUGGCUCGUAAAUUCCAUCUAAAGCCUUCUAUUGCUGAGUAUCCGCUAGCGAACGAUUACCGUGAGGUAAAGAGGGAAAGCGCUUUGAAGCGAUAUGUAAAGAGACUGUGACAUUGCGUGAAGGUGAACGCUGGGAGUCGGUUGCAUGCUCUCAGAUCUACUUAGACUCAGUCUUGCUUCGGCUUGAUGCAUUUCCUUGUGCACCGGCCAGUGUUCAUGUCGAUCGCUGGAGAAGGUACAGGGGAAUGUGGCUCCUUAUGGAGUGUUAUAGCCCAUGUUCAUAUACAGUGAUUGGCAUGGAGUGGUACAGCAUGCUUCGGCGGUGUUUGUACUGGCAUAAUGGCUUUAAACGACCCGUCUUGAAACACGG